AGAGUUUGAUCAUGGCUCAGAACGAACGCUGGCGGCAUGCCUAACACAUGCAAGUCGAACGCUAUUUAUAGAGUGGCGCACGGGUGAGUAACGCGUGGGAACCUGCCUUUCUCUGCGGGAUAACGGUUGGAAACGACCGCUAAUACCGCAUACGCCCUACGGGGGAAAGGUCCGCCGGAGAAAGAGGGGCCCGCGUCUGAUUAGCUUGUUGGUAGGGUAAUGGCCUACCAAGGCGACGAUCAGUAGCUGGUCUGAGAGGAUGAUCAGCCACACUGGGACUGAGACACGGCCCAGACUCCUACGGGAGGCAGCAGUGGGGAAUAUUGGACAAUGGGGGCAACCCUGAUCCAGCAAUGCCGCGUGUGUGAUGAAGGCCUUAGGGUUGUAAAGCACUUUCACUGGUGAAGAUGAUGACGGUAACCAGAGAAGAAGCCCCGGCUAACUUCGUGCCAGCAGCCGCGGUAAUACGAAGGGGGCGAGCGUUGUUCGGAAUUACUGGGCGUAAAGGGCGCGUAGGCGGUCUUUUAAGUUAGGCGUGAAAGCCCCGGGCUCAACCCGGGAACUGCGCUUAAGACUGGAAGACUAGAAAACGGAAGAGGGUAGUGAAUUCCAUGUA
rnacentral:rRNA from 1 species